rnacentral:rRNA from 1 species
UAGGGAAUCUUCCACAAUGGACGCAAGUCUGAUGGAGCAACGCCGCGUGAGUGAAGAAGGUCUUCGGAUCGUAAAGCUCUGUUGUUGGUGAAGAAGGAUAGAGGCAGUAACUGGUCUUUAUUUGACGGUAAUCAACCAGAAAGUCACGGCUAACUACGUGCCAGCAGCCGCGGUAAUACGUAGGUGGCAAGCGUUGUCCGGAUUUAUUGGGCGUAAAGCGAGCGCAGGCGGAAUGAUAAGUCUGAUGUGAAAGCCCACGGCUCAACCGUGGAACUGCAUCGGAAACUGUCAUUCUUGAGUGCAGAAGAGGAGAGUGGAACUCCAUGUGUAGCGGUGGAAUGCGUAGAUAUAUGGAAGAACACCAGUGGCGAAGGCGGCUCUCUGGUCUGCAACUGACGCUGAGGCUCGAAAGCAUGGGUAGCGAACAGGAUUAGAUACCCUGGUAGUCCA